GAAAUGCGAUACGUAAUGUGAAUUGCAGAAUUAUGUGAAUCAUCGAAUCUUUGAACGCACAUUGCGCUUUCUGGCUUGCCAGGAAGCAUGCCUGUUUGAGUAUCAGUAUUACCUCUCACCUCCUCUAUUCUCGAAUAAAGGGGCGUGGAUUUGGGCUUGCCUUUGAACCUGCUUUUUUUAAAGUUGGGUGUGGGGGCUGGCCUUAAAUGCAGCGACGCGAGUACACGCGACAAAGGUGUGUUGGGUAUUUCGAUACUACUACACUGCGUCUGUCGGUGCUUGGGUCUAGGCAGGAAAUACAUUUUUUCAACUUGAUCUCAAAUCAGGCAAGAUUACCCGCUGAACUUAA
rnacentral:misc_RNA from 1 species